UUCAUUGUGCAUGAGUUCAUUUUUUUAAUUCAAGUUAAAACUAAUGUAGAUAUAUUACCGAACUUAACCUACCAUUCCUAACCUAACCUAACUUAACCUAACCUAAACUAACAUAACUAAGUCAGUCAUUUAUGUUCUAAAUAUAAUAUGAUGAUAAUAUUUUAAAUAAACCAAUUUGAAUUUUUUUUUUAAAUAAAGAAAAUCACUUGGCCUAUUAAGCAUAUUAGACCUUGCAUAGUAGGCCGAGUAGUGCAUUCUGUCUACUAGGUACAAAAUACACACACACACACACUCACACACACUCACACUCUCACUCACUGUACACUAUAUAUAUUACCAGCUAUUGAAGUGUUUUGCAAAAUGAAUUGCAAAAGAACAAUUGGUUGCAUAUGAGCAAGAGGGAGAGUAACUGUGAUAGUUUGUGCUGUCAUUGUUAAUAUCAUAGGCUUUAUCUCCGUUAAGGGAGAUGAUUAUCAUGUCACUUCCUUUGACCAUUAAUUCUGAAAUACUUAUCAUGAGAGAAUAUAGAAUUAUUUCCUUCAUAUUGGAGAAUUACACUAUUUAGCACAUGCUAUAUUAUUUUUUAUUUCUGUUGACUUAAAAGGAGCAAUCUGAGUGUUUGGCAGAUAGGGUCAUGUCUGCUAGAGAUGGUGAGAUGGCCCUGGGGCCAAGGUCACUUGAGGGAGACCUUCUUGGAAGGUAAUCCUUAGAUGCUGUACUGCUGAGGGAGACCUUCUUGGGAGGUAAUCCUUCGAUGCUGUACUGCUGAGGGAGACCUUCUUGGGAGGUAAUCCUUAGAUGCUGUACUGCUGAGGGAGACCUUCUUGGGAGGUAAUCCUUAGAUGCUGUACUGCUGAGGGAGACCUUCUUGGGAAGUAAUACUUAGAUGCUGUACUGCUGAGGGAGACCUUCUUGGGAGGUAAUUCUUCGAUGCUGUACUGCUGAGGGAGACCUUCUUGGGAGGUAAUCCUUAGAUGCUGUACUGCUGAGGGAGACCUUCUUGGGAGGUAAUCCUUAGAUGCUGUACUGCUGAGGGAGACCUUCUUGGGAAGUAAUCCUUCGAUGCUGUACUGCUGAGGGAGACCUUCUUGGGAAGUAAUCCUUAGAUGCUGUACUGCUGAGGGAGACCUUCUUGGGAAGUAAUCCUUAGAUGCUGUACUGCUGAGGGAGACCUUCUUGGGAAGUAAUCCUUAGAUGCUGUACUGCUGAGGGAGACCUUCUUGGAAAGUAAUCCUUAGAUGCUGUACUGCUGAGGGAGACCUUCUUGGAAAGUAAUCCUUAGAUGCUGUACUGCUGAGGGAGACCUUCUUGGAAAGUAAUCCUUAGAUGCUGUACUGCUGAGGGAGACCUUCUUGGGAAGUAAUCCUUAGAUGCUGUACUGCUGAGGGAGACCUUCUUGGGAAGUAAUCCUUAGAUGCUGUACUGCUGAGGGAGACCUUCUUGGGAGGUAAUCCUUCGAUGCUGUACUGCUGAGGGAGACCUUCUUGGGAAGUAAUCCUUAGAUGCUGUACUGCUGAGGGAGACCUUCUUGGAAAGUAAUCCUUAGAUGCUGUACUGCUGAGGGAGACCUUCUUGGGAAGUAAUCCUUAGAUGCUGUACUGCUGAGGGAGACCUUCUUGGGAAGUAAUCCUUAGAUGCUGUACUGCUGAGGGAGACCUUCUUGGGAGGUAAUCCUUCGAUGCUGUACUGCUGAGGGAGACCUUCUUGGGAAGUAAUCCUUAGAUGCUGUACCUGUAUAACUUAGAGUUUAGUGUAUAUUAAUCUGCCCUAUUCUGAUUCUCUCCAAUGUCUGUCUUGUAUAUAAAAUAUAUUCUUCUUGCCAUGUUGGAUAAGGAAUAUUGAAAGCUUGACCUCUAGUCCGGUGACAUGAAGCAGGUGCACCACAUUGGCCAUAACUGCCACUUGCUAUAUGACUGCUGCCUUGAAGAUCUCAUUGCCAGCCUCUUAUCUGCCACCAUCCCCACUAAAUCAACAUUCAGGAUACAUUUAAUAUAUAUAUAUAUAUAUAUAUAUAUAUAUAUAUAUAUAUUGGCUGAUUUAAUAUUUUUGUGUAAAAGGAUGCUGCAUGGAGAGUUGCCAUAGCACUCCAUUCUGAAUUCAUUCUUUUUUAAAGGUAAUUUUCAUUUUACUGUAUUUCCUUAGAACUCACAGGAAGUAUUUUUACUGCUGAACGUUUACCUUGUGAAACUCAUGUUUUGAGUGACUUGUAUAAGUUCAAUGCUUCUUUGAAGCAGAUGUGAUAGCAAAAAAAUAUAUAUAUAUUUUUCUUUUGUAUAUAAACUUUUCCUGGUGUAUGGCUCUUAUUCAGUAAAAGCAUUUAUGAAAACUGA